CGAAAUUGAAAGGCGGCUUCGGCUGUCACUUAUGGAUGGACCCGCGUCGCAUUAGCUAGUUGGUGAGGUAACGGCUCACCAAGGCAACGAUGCGUAGCCAACCUGAGAGGGUGAUCGGCCACACUGGGACUGAGCCACGAAAAAAAUUUCUACGGGAGGCAGCAGUAGGGAAUCUUCCGCAAUGGACGAAAGUCUGACGGAGCAACGCCGCGUGAGUGAUGAAGGCUUUCGGGUCGUAAAACUCUGUUGUUAGGGAAGAACAAGUGCUAGUUGAAUAAGCUGGCACCUUGACGGUACCUAACCAGAAAGCCACGGCUAACUACGUGCCAGCAGCCGCGGUAAUACGUAGGUGGCAAGCGUUAUCCGGAAUUAUUGGGCGUAAAGCGCGCGCAGGUGGUUUCUUAAGUCUGAUGUGAAAGCCCACGGCUCAACCCGUGUAGGGUCAUUGGAAACUGGGAGACUUGAGUGCAGAAGAGGAAAGUGGAAUUCCAUGUGUAGCGUGAAAUGCGUAGAGAUAUGGAGGAACACCAGUGGCG
rnacentral:rRNA from 1 species